AGUGAACGCUGGCGGUAGGCCUAACACAUGCAAGUCGAACGGCAGCACAGUAAGAGCUUGCUCUUACGGGUGGCGAGUGGCGGACGGGUGAGGAAUACAUCGGAAUCUACUUUUUCGUGGGGGAUAACGUAGGGAAACUUACGCUAAUACCGCAUACGACCUACGGGUGAAAGCAGGGGAUCUUCGGACCUUGCGCGAUUGAAUGAGCCGAUGUCGGAUUAGCUAGUUGGCGGGGUAAAGGCCCACCAAGGCGACGAUCCGUAGCUGGUCUGAGAGGAUGAUCAGCCACACUGGAACUGAGACACGGUCCAGGCUCCUACGGGAGGCAGCAGUGGGGAAUAUUGGACAAAGGGCGCAAGCCUGAUCCAGCCAUACCGCGUGGGUGAAGAAGGCCUUCGGGUUGUAAAGCCCUUUUGUUGGGAAAGAAAAGCAGCAGGUUAAUACCCCGCUGUUCUGACGGUACCCAAAGAAUAAGCACCGGCUAACUUCGUG
rnacentral:rRNA from 1 species